UACGGAGGGAGCUAGUGUUAUUCGGAAUUACUGGGCGUAAAGGGCUCGUAGGCGGCCAACUAAGUCAGACGUGAAAUCCCUCAGCUUAACUGGGGAACUGCGUCUGAUACUGGAUGGCUUGGAUUUGGGAGAGGGAUGCGGAAUUCCAGGUGUAGCGGUGAAAUGCGUAGAUAUCUGGAGGAACACCGGUGGCGAAGGCGGGUUGCUGGGCCGACACUGACGCUGAGGCGCGAAAGCCAGGGGAGCGAACGGG
rnacentral:rRNA from 1 species